UUGGAGGGCAAGUCUGGUGCCAGCAGCCGCGGUAAUUCCAGCUCCAAUAGCGUAUAUUAAAGUUGUUGCAGUUAAAAAGCUCGUAGUUGAAUUUCGGGGUUUAUACGUUGGUCGGGCUUUUGGGUCUGUACUGGCGUAAUGAAUUCCUACCUUCUGAAUAACCAGCAUGUCAUUAAUUUGAUGCGCCGGGGAAGCAGGACUGUUACCUUGAAAAAAUUAGAGUGCUUAAAGCAGGCUAUUGCCUGAAUACAUCAGCAUGGAAUAAUGAAAUAGGACGUUUGAUUCUAUUUUGUUGGUUUCUAGGAUUGACGUAAUGAUUAAUAGGGAUAGUUGGGGGCAUUAGUAUUCAAUUGUCAGAGGUGAAAUUCUUGGAUUUAUUGAAGACUAACUUCUGCGAAAGCAUUUGCCAAGGAUGUUUUCAUUAAUCAAGAACGAAAGUUAGGGGAUCGAAGACGAUCAGAUACCGUCGUAGUCUUAACCAUAAACUAUGCCGACUAGGGAUCGGACGAUGUUAAUUUUUUAAUGACUCGUUCGGCGCCUUACGGGAAAC
rnacentral:rRNA from 1 species